GUAGUCGGUCCCAAGGGUUGGGCUGUUCGCCCAUUAAAGCGGUACGCGAGCUGGGUUCAGAACGUCGUGAGACAGUUCGGUCCCUAUCCGUCGUGGGCGUAGGAAAUUUGAGAGGAGCUGUCCUUAGUACGAGAGGACCGGGAUGGACACACCGCUGGUGUACCAGUUGUUCUGCCAGGAGCAUAGCUGGGUAGCUACGUGUGGACGGGAUAAACGCUGAAAGCAUCUAAGCGUGAAGCCCCCCUCAAGAUGAGAUUUCCCAUUCGAAAGAAGUAAGAUCCCUUGAAGACGACAAGGUAGAUAGGUCAGAAGUGGAAGUGUGGUGACACAUGGAGCGGACUGAUACUAAUCGAUCGAGGACUUAACCAAA
rnacentral:rRNA from 1 species